ACACUUCUCGGCUCACUCAGCAUCAUUUAUUGUGCAUCUGGCAUUCUGCACCACAUACAGUGUUAGACACGGCCUCGGGGAAAGCUGAUUGUAACUUUGGAGGACUCUACCUUGCUUUGAAUCGCAGACUGACACCUGUCCAGAUGUGGGAUCUAUUACUGCUGGGGAGAUGUCAUGCUCUCAAACUAUCCUCGGAGUCACUCUCCCAAUUACCAUAGUGGGCUCUUUGAGACCCACUGUACACUCGAUCAAAGGAAAAGCUCUCCAGGACAAAGCCAGUGGUUCCUGCCAUCACCAUGCGGGGGCGCCCGCGAGUUGUAGCCCCGUGGCAGCAGGGCCUUGCGCAUGCACUCCAGUUUACUGCUCCAUCUGCAUUCCUGUCCUGUCAGGGGUCAGGGAAGAAUGUAUUUCCGACUCAUCCAGGCUGAGCCUGCAGAGGUACCAAAUUUUCUUUAACGGCGACCCUUGCCUGCCCUCACUGUUCAGCCACCCUACCCCAUGUCCCACGGGGCUUGUCUGAUCAAGCUUUUUGGAAGUUAAUAAAUGUUACUAUGGCAGGAGUGUUGCUCAGGCUGGCUCUGCGACAGGAGCAUAUGGUGGUGCUCUGGCGCUGCCUCUUACGGGUCCUUUGAUUGCCGCCAGUUUGUGCUUUGGAAUAACAGAGAAACGUGCUCACUUUUCAGAAUCAAGCGGCCACAGCCACUCUCCCUCCUGGCACAGGCCUCAGUGGCAGAUCUUUAUCAAGUCGGUGAACCUCUGCCUCUGAGUUCUAGUCCCCAUCUUGCCGAACCCCCAGCAUGCAGGUGACCCCUAGAGGUGUAGAUAGAAGCUGCACCCAGCCAAAUGCUCCAGUGGCCAGAGAAACGUGCGUGGAGCAACUUUUGAAAUUGGACCAGAUGAGAGCAGAGGGCCCUGUGGACCAGGAGAGGGCUAACCUGCCUUGGCGUUGGGAAAGAGAUACUCGGUCCCCCACACCCACACAACUUGUCCCAGCACCCGUCCUUGUUUCCUUGACCACUGGUAUUUGCUGAGUUAAAAGAUGAAUGAAGGGCCUGUGAGAUGCCAUCAAGUCGACUGACAUGAAUUCAUGAAUUGUUCUCACGUGGGAGGAGAGAACCAGUUCUGGCAAGUUGUCCUCUGACCCUGACCUCUACAAAAAUAAGGCACGUGUGCUCCCCCCAAACCUCCCCAUCCCCUUGUCCUCUGCACCCCGACACCUGCAAAUGCAAGAUAAUUAACAGGUCUUUAUUUUUCAGGUGUAUUUUAAAUUUUAUUUUAAAGUGUAUGAUUUAAGAUUUAUUUUAAAGAGCUAAAGGUUCAGCUAGACUUGCGAAAGGAUCCCCAGACUUUGUGAUCCUGGUGCCCCGUGGCUUGCUGUAGGUACUUUUACAGUCUGUGGUGAUUCCCGCCGCCGCCACACGGGGGCGAGAGUAUGCCUUUGCAAUCUCUACAAAGUCCUGAAAGGGAAGAAAAUGGAAAACAGCAGGCUUGGCCCGCAUGGGCGGAGUGGGGUGGAGGGGAUGGGGUCAGGGUUAGGGUGGGAGUGGGAGAGGCAGUGGGAUGUCAGUUGGGGCCCCGAGGCUGGAGAAUUGCUGUGAUUUUUUUUUUUUUAAAUUACUGUGAUUUUGAGGCCAAUACUUUAGAGAUGGAUGGGGAAACUGGAGGACUGGGAGUUAAAGACUGUUGUCAUAUUUACAGUCUGAGGCUCUGCCUCAAAAACACAAAAUUAAACACAUGCACACAG
rnacentral:lncRNA from 1 species